GGUGAGGUGAGGCGGGAAGGGGCGAGCGGUGCGCUGAGGUGAGGUGGGGGUUGGCGGGAGGUGAGCGGCUGAGGGGGCGGGGAGGGCGCGAGCCGGGCGGCGCGGAGCCGCGUCCCGCCGGGCGGGGGGAGGGGGAAUCUGUGAGGGAAGGGGCGGAGGGGCGGGGCGGUCUGUGAGGUUCUGCCGGGGGGGGCACCGCCGCCCCCCGCUCCGUUCUCCGGCCGCUCCCGGGCGGCGGGCUCGGGUCCCCAGACCCCCCGCCCGUGAGCCCCGCGGGAGGCGGGCGGCUGGGGCGGACGGGGCUCCGCCGUGGCCGGCACGGAGCGCGUCCCGCCGCGCCGGGGGCGGAGGAGCGCGAUGGCGGGAGCGGCGUUUCCCUGCGCUCCCCGGGGAGGAAGCGGCCGGCGGCCACACGGCGCUGCCCGGGACGCGGCCCGGCCCUGCGAGGCGCUCCGCGGGGAGCCCGACCCGGCCCCGCCGCCCUCCCGGCGUCCUGCGGGCAGCCCCGCCGCGGGUCUGGCCGUGCUCGGGGCCGGCUGACCGCUCGCUCUGCCCUCUCGCCCGGCUCCUGGAGCGUUACCGUCCUUUCGAACCGUAGCGCGGCGCUGGCGCUGUGGUUUGAGCCGCUGCUUCGGGACACCUUCGGAGUCUGGUGCGAAGCUCUUCGUUUGUUUAACUCUUGGCAGCCUCUCGUGUGAGAUGUUGAGGAUGCAGCAUCCUGACCGUCCCAGCCAGGACAGCAGGGGGGUGCUGGGGUUGCACGGGGGACUUACAGCCUGCCGAGCUGCCGGCCUCGCUUUUCCUUCUGUCUGUGAGUGCUUUCGUCCACCGCGCUUCAUGAACACAAAUCCUGGGUUCUCAGAUCCGUGCUGUACGACAUUAGGAGCUUCUCAAAGCGUCACUUGGGUACAUGUUCUCUAACGUACCCAUAGGCACAGACCCGCUCCGGGUGCUCUUUCUCUCUCUCUGGUACCCAUUGACACCCCUCACAGGUUUCAAACCCGGAGCGUGUCACAGAAGUCCCGGUUCCCUUGUCCCUCAUCUACUGGUUUGUCAAACAGAAUCACAUCGGCUGCUGCGGAGCCAAGAAUUGCUUUAUAGUUUUAUCACAGAACUUUUGCUCUCUUAGCAGAAGACAUUGUAGAACUGAUUUUACCUUCGUUUCUCAAGGAAGCAGGGAGUAAAGCGGCAGUGGAAGCACUGUAUUCGUUACUCGGAACAGGCCUUAUUCCUGUAGAGCAUUGCAGCACUCCUAAACACACACAUGAGUAAGCGUAGUACUUCAUACAAUCAGCUGUGGGAAAGGUUAGCUUGGGCCUGUUAGGACUUAAUUAAGGCUGUUUGUCAGUCCAUUAAGAGGAGCUAGUAUGGCAAGAUAACUGCGAUGUCUCGCAGUACAAGCCCAGAAGGGCGUUCAGUGGUGCUUAUAAAGGGGGAGUUUUGGAAAACAGUAGGUGGCUUUUCCAAGCUAUGUAAUUAUAAUGAAAGUAACUGCCAGGGGAAACCAUUCAGCAGGAUUCAGAGCAUGCAGAUAUUUGUAUGAACACAAAAACCUUCUACUGCAUUCGCAACGAAAGCCAAGAAAACAUUCUGAAGAUGCUGAAGCACGUGGCUUGGGAUUCAAAGGAGUCUGUAGGGAAUAAGGACUGUGCUUUUCUGUAUCCGCAGUGGUCUUGUGCCUGGUUCAGAGCAGGGGCAGAGGGUGCUGUUGGACCAGAAGGGUUGUGAGCUUUGUCACUCGUCGGGUGAGAAUAUAAAGUCAGAGUGCUCACUGACACUGCUGCGAAGGCAGAAGUUCAAAGGUCCCCCUGCUGUGAGCUGCUCCCCUCAUUAUAAAGCACAGCGUGGGGAGAGCCACGGAGAGUGUGCCACGGAGGAGUGCUAAGGAACACUGGGUGUGCACACAUGGGGCAUGAGAAGCUUGGAACGCACACGUGCUUCAGAAGAGGCUCUGUAUUGGCAACGGCAGGUUGUUCCCUUGACAGUCGAUUGCAGGGACUGCCAGACUGAGAUAUUCUAGGUGUGUGUUUUCUUCACAGGGAGGCUGGAGGACAAAAGCCCGUCGUUGCCAGCAGUAUUGCGCGCUGCUGAAACGUUACACUCUAUUAAUGCUCAUUUGAACGGCCGUUCUUCGUGACUUCCUUCCAACUCCUUUUUUGUUGUUCUCAACUCUUGCGGGCCUGCUGGCGGUGUGUUUACUGAGGACUCACAGAGAAGGACUUGUUCAGAGUCACUUCCUUGUUUGUCAUAGAGAUUCCGCGUGCGUGAGCCCACCUCUUGGUGAGCCGGUCCUACACCUGCCGUUAGGCGGCGUGUUCUGGUACAGGGCUGCCUUCCAUGGCUGUGAGCAGUAGUUGUUUAAACAAAGCAAUUCUUGUUUGGGUUAAAAUAUUUUAGAAUAAUCUAUUUCUAGUGUUUGUUAUUUCUCUUGCUUAUCUGGAGGGAAUACACUUUGUUCAGUAGGUGAACAACCACGGACUUGACUUACUUGAGAAGCAGCUCACAGGCUGUGCUUGCUCUGCGUGCCUAGACGUCUGUCAUCCAAUCUGUCUGUCCAGGAGCAGCUACAGACUUACUGUUCUGACUGCUUGCACUUAGCGAGGGAGCCAGAAUUCAUAUGGUGCUGUGUGCCUCUUCAGACACAAAGGCAAGCGUGAAUUUAAACCAACUGAAGUGUGUGUUUGAUUUAGCACAAAACAUCUCUGAGGAGCCUGCAGCCACGGAACAGUCUGCCAGGGAUGAAAAUACACAUCCUUCAGCAGUCGGUCCAGUUGUAGGGGGUUAAGGUGGUUGUAGGUAGGACACUGGCAAGCCUGUCGUUGCUCUGUGCAAAGAGUUUGAUUUAGAUGGAGGGACUGGGAGUGUUCUCGUUUCUGUACUGGCGUGAAGUUCUUGCACACGUAUCGUAACCCUGUUUCUGUGUGUCUGAAAAUCCCAGUGUAACCCAGUAAAUAGGUAUGUACGUCCCCACUUCUUUCAACCAGGGCUGUAUUAGAGAAGCACGGUGUCCUUGGUGCUGGAGUCAGCCAGAAGCUUCUAGCUGCUGCAGAACACUGUGCUGUUUCUGCACGGUGAUACAGGCUAUUGGAAGCACUCAGUCUUACUUUUUCUACUUGGGAAGGAGUGAAGUUGAGGGUGGCGGUGAGUUCUCCACAUACCACAAGUACACACACACGUAUUUGUUCAGGCAAAUCCGCCAGAGUCUGAAGUGAGCAGUAAGUGGCUGUGUGUGCAGAGGAGCUGAGGGGGUGCCAGCUUUCUGUAGCUGCACCAGAAAGUGACAGAUAAAGAGCUGGCUCCUCUUCCUGUUUCCGUACUGGCUCAGCCUCAGGCAGCUCGUACAGCAGAGUGCACGUGAGGGGUUUACUUUAGCCUUUUACAGCAGAGCUUUCAGGAUUUGAUUGCUUGUGCAGAGGGUCUGUUGCAGAUAUAAUUAAACUGAAGCAGAAGUGCAUGACAACCUGUAUGCAGCCUAGCCAACCCUGUGUGUUUUCCAGGCAAAUCACGCUGUGAAUCACUGAAAACAUGUAAUCUUCUAUUGCAAACUGCUUGCUUACAAGAGUUCUUUUGUUCUGUAGGCUUUGUACUUUUCACUGUUAAUGAUUUUGUCUGUAUGAAAAUGUAAACUUGUGAUGUUUAAUAAAAUAUGUAAGUCAUUAGUUAUUUAGUGUCCAUUUUCAUCUUGUCACUUCAGUCUGGAGAUAAGCAGAAUGCUCACUGCAACUCUGACAGUUCUGAAUAACGUAGCUCUGCUUUGUCAGGUGGAACCCAUCACUUUGGGUUUCCUACUUUUAAAGGAAGUCGGGUUCAACAGUGAGUCUUUGCUUUUGUGAGAUCCAUGGAGCUUGGAGAAAGCUUUGGGGAAAGCUGCCUACUGAAAACCCAUACAUAUCAUUGGGUAGUUGGAACUAACUAGAAUGAAUUCAGUAUUUGGCUGCUCACUGUAGGUGCUUGGAUUUCUCAUUAUUGUUGAAAUCAUCCAGAGAAAGGUCUCUGGCUGGCUGUUAAUUGUUUUCCUUUGGUCAGUUACUGGAGUACCUGGAAUUCAUGUCAUUGCAGUGGGGAGGUUUUACCCGCUCUGCAGGACAGACACCACUCAUUUCAUGCUUAAUAGAUCUGAAAGCUGAAUUAUAUAAUCUUAAGAGGAAAACUUGGUCUCUUCUCCAACCCUUUUUUGGGGCAGGGCAGGAGAGGAGGAAAGGAAAGCAGCCGUGGCAGAGAACACGAGCCGGGUCAUGGUGGCUGCUGUGUUCCCUCGUUUCAACAGGCUGAAUUUCUACCAGCUUCAAAUGCCAUGGAUGUCUCUGAGGUGUAAGAGCACCCAGAUUUUAAACUGAAGCACAGGUAUUUUUUUCUCUGAUUUUUAACAGAAUUGAUUUGAGCUGUCUGUAAUGGAGUAACAGUUGCCCAAGCUCUGAAAGUUCCUAUCCCAUUUGUAUGCUAAUGUCUCUUCAAGUCAGAUUUCUGUUCAGGGCUGGGCAUAAAACAAAGUACUGCAGUCACUCGCUGAGCAAAAAUGACUUAGGAAUAUGUAUUUUCUCAGUUUAACCCUGAGCAAAAUACUUUUGGCAUCGGCACAUUCAUUUACGUGGACUUGUGAGUGCUUUUAAAGUACAGCCUUUUAUAAUUGGGCUCCUGCAGGUUUGGUUAUUUAUGCAAAGCAGAGAGGCGCUUCGUUCUUUCAUAGCUUUGCAAUGGCAAUCUUUAGGAAAUGGGACAAUUGCAGGGAUUUUCUUGCUCCGUGGUAUGAUCUCAGCUCUGCGUGUUCUCCAAACUUCCUCACAUGGCUGUUACAUUAGUUUCUAUCUGUACUGUGCUUCGAAGCCGUAAAGUGUUGUUACUCUUAAUUAGACUGGUAGAGAAUUCUGUAUUUCAAUAUGGAUGUGGAUAGCUCACAAGCACUCUGUUGUCGUUACCCCCUUACUCCAUUGGAUGCCACGAGCUGGGCUUUGCAUCUCGUCCCUGAAGAAGGACAGCAUCCCAGUGCCCGCCCUGGCCCGCUGCCGGUGUACUGAGUGCCGUGGUUCAGCUCUCCAGCUCCUACAGUUCUACUGCCAUUUGGAGGCUGGGACAACAGAAGUACUGCAGGCGUUUCUGAACACCAGCUCACCCCUACAGCUUCUUGGUUGACGGCAGAACUCCUUCAGGCAGUGUGGAAGUGCAGGCUUUUCUUACUCCUGGCAGCCGUUGUGGCUGUUGCUGCCUUGGCCUUCUGAAACAGAGAGAGGAAAGCAGAAAAGGGCUGAAUUGUGCAGGGAGCUUCCAGGUAAGCAGACACAUUCAGAACAUGCUUGUUACUUGUAUGCUGCUCGAGACUUUUAUAAAACACCAAUUUCUAUACUUUUUUUUGCCAGAGAAGGUUUCCAAGCUUUAUUAUUUUUUAAAGCUGUUUUAAUUCCUCUCCCCCACUUGGCUGAAGGUACCUGUGUUGGAUGAGCACAAAGCAGGAGCAGCAGUUCCCUGUGCUGCAGGGGUUGGAGCGUAGACCAGGGACCCUUUGGGUGCUCCGUACCCAUAUGUCCUCCAAUGGGAAGUGUGGGAGAGAUGAUGAGAUCUGGAGGCAGAGGCACUUUCUCCUCCAAACGCAGUGUCCUCUUCAACUGUAAAAUGUAGAAGUUUUUCACCUUUUGAAAUAUGGGAAGUCUUUAAGAAAGAAUGCAAUAGUUGGCCACCAGUGUCUCACAAGUUCCUACAGGUUGUUCAGAUGUAGCCUGGGGCAAAACAUAAGAUUUUUCUCAUUGCAUUUGAAUAAAGCUUUUUCUUUUUCCCUUAGAUCUCAAAUCAGCAGCAAACCCAUUCUUCAAUGAACAAAUGUCCCUUGGUUUGGUGUGUGUUUGCAGGGCUGUGGUAGGUACAGCUGUUACUCUUUAUGAACUUAAGUAAGUGGAGGGAAAGGAAGAAACUAAGCAAAACACAGUGUACAAAACUAGAACAAGUGAACUAGUUUUUGCUUUCUAGUAAAGUUUCCUAGUUUUUGCUUUCUAGUAGUUUCAAAUACAGUCCUCUUCCCACCAGCACGGCCGGGAGUUCAGCACUGAUGGCACAGUGCUCAUCUUCACCAUGCUUCCUUACAUCUUAACAGUGACAGUGCUGAGCACUUAGCACUGCAAAGUGGCAAGGUGAAGUGAAGCAUUUGGAAGUAUGUAUGAAAGAGGGAUGGGAGUUUCUGAGAAGAUAGGACGAGGUUUGUUGGUCCUGUUUGCUGCUUUUCAGGAGAUGACUCCUCCAGUGCACUGCCAUGUGAAUGAAAAGCUGCUCGUACACAAGCCUUAAAGCAAGAACUCGAGGAGCUGCACGCUGCCUUAGCUGUCUAGAAACACUGCUCAAACAACACGAUCUGGGCUGGGCCAUCAUUUAAAGGUGCUUUGAUUUUUCUUGUAAAGCAGUUCCACCAAAUGCACAAGAUGUUAUUUUGAAGUUCAGCUGAUGGUUUGAGAGAAGCAGAUAUUUGAGCACCGCUCUGAAAUAUGUCAACAUUUUGUGUGCUGCUGUUCCCAUGGAAACAGGUAUCAGCUCAGAAAAAUGGCCUCGGGAUUUCAGAAUUAGAUGUAGAAAAUAAAAUCCAGAUAGGUUAGUCAUGCAUAUUGCUACUCAUAAGCUGAUACUGGUGGUGCUAAGCAAUACGCCAUGAACACAUCAGGUGUGGACACACACACUGGCAGGUCAGUGGUUUAUAUUUUUGCUAAGUGAGCCUUUGACUGAAGGAACUUUAUUAGAAAAACACGUAUGUAUGGCAAACAAGUAUACAGAUUGUAAGGUAAAUAGGUAUACAGGUAUAGGACCAGAGAGAUUAUUGUGUUACAAAGGAGUAAUGAAAUAAAGAGCUUACCCAUGUCCUGGGCUCACAGAAGGGCUCCAAGAAGAGUGAUCUCCAGAUAGAGAUCCUUCCUGCUUGGGAGUCAGCCCUUAAAUGGGGUCUCUGUGGGGUGCAGCCAGGAUCCACCCCUUCCGGUCACUCAGGUGAAGUUACGUUCACCUGUGCCCCUGCAGCUGACUCAGUGCCCACCUCAGGUGAUCAAUCAGAGGUUCAGGCCGUGAUUAUACAGUUCCCAUACAAUGCAUUAAUUGCAUUUUUUUUCUAGCCUGUUCUCUUCCACAUACCUGAAAGCAGUCACAUUUUCAUCACUUCUUUAGGCCUCUUCCCUGAAAAAAGGUGGAAGAGGUAUUGGAUGAGAACUACAGAUUUAAGCUAGUUGGCAGACUUUUUUUUUAACAUAAAAUGGCUGAGGAAACACAAACCUGAUCAUAUGGAAUCUUUAGCAGCAUGUAGAAAUGAAGCAGGUGCCAUUCCUUUGAGCUGUUUGCCUCUGGGGAUGUGUGCUUUAGGAAGGGCCGUUGCAGGCGGGGCAGUUAUCCCAGCUGAGCACUGAGCACGGGAUGAGUGCAGGACUCACUGCCAGCAGGGCAGUGUGCAGUGAGCACACCUUUAUGGGGCUGAGGGCAGAGCACCCUGGGAAUUCUUGGAAAAUGAAGUCUCCUCUAAUUGGAGGCUUGCAUCUUCAGCUUAAUGAUUCAGACAUGUCUAUCUAUUUUCUAGCUCAAGCCAUGCUUAGAUGUCUGUCUUUGAUAUGAAUUGGAUGCCCCACAUCCUCUAGAGCAGCGGCUCCCAGCUGGUGUUGGGCAUUGUGUUAAAGGAAAGGCACAGAGCAGGAGUCCCACAGGCCUCAAGGAUGGAAGCGCAGUGCAGAAGCAACGCGCAGGCAGCUGGCCAGAGCAGCUUUUGUUCAACACAACAGCAGAGGCCCUACAGUGAGGGAUUCAAGGAGGAUCUUACAGUAGCCUUGCUAGGAAUCAGCAACGCAUUCUUCACCUGUACUCUUCACAGCUGAAACACAACCAUCUGGUUGGGCUACUAAGUGAUAAAUAAAUAGCCUGCCCAUCAAAACAUCUACUCUUAAGCAUGCAGUUAUUCUGCAGCUCAGCCAGGAAGCACACUGCAGCACAGAGCAGCGGGGCAGUGCGUGCUGAGCAGCCUGCAGCUGAUGCAAAGUGCCCACUCUGGGAGCGCCACAGCUCCACUGCUGCAGGCGCUUCACCUCCACACUGUGGCUGCUGCUUCAUCCCUGGCUGGGAGAGCGAGUGAAGGCGUUCCAUCCUGCACAUCCCAUGUGAUUGCCUCUCCAUACCACUCUCCUACUUCUUGACUUCUAUUCCUGUGACUUUGAGCCUCAUGAAAAACCAAUAAAAACAAACGCUCAAAA